rnacentral:rRNA from 1 species
GAUGAACGCUAGCGGCAGGCUUAAUACAUGCAAGGCGAAGGGGCAGCAAUGUCACUGUCGUACGGGUGCGUGACGCGUAUGCAACCUACCUAUCACUGGGGGAUAGCCCGGGGAAACCCGGAUUAAUACCGCAUAAAACAGGGGCACCGCAUGGUGAUAUUUGUUAAAGAUUUAUUGGUGAUAGAUGGGCAUGCGUUCGAUUAGCUAGUUGGCGGGGUAACGGCCCACCAAGGCGACGAUCGAUAGGGGAGCUGAGAGGUUGAUCCCCCACACGGGCACUGAGAUACGGGCCCGACUCCUACGGGAGGCAGCAGUAGGGAAUAUUGGGCAAUGGAUGCAAGUCUGACCCAGCCAUGCCGCGUGCCGGAUGAAGGCCCUCAGGGUUGUAAACGGCUUUUAUUCGGGAAGAAGAGCAGGGAUGCGUCCUUGUGUGACGGUACCGAAUGAAUAAGCACCGGCUAACUCCGUGCCAGCAGCCGCUGUAA